rnacentral:rRNA from 1 species
ACGUAGGUGGCAAGCGUUAUCCGGAUUUACUGGGCGUAAAGCGCUCGCAGGUGGCUUGUCAGGUCGGUUGUGAAAUCUCCUGGCUCAACUGGGAGGGUGCGACCGAAACCGAUAGGCUUGAGGGCCGGAGAGGGGCAUGGAAUUCCUGGCGUAGUGGUAAAAUGCGUUGAACUCAGGAGGAACACCCGUGGCGAAAGCGGUGCCCUGGCCGGAACCUGACGCUGAGGAGCGAAAGCAUGGGGAGCGAACAGGA